UACGAAGGGUGCAAACGUUGCUCGGAAUCAUUGGGCGUAAAGCGCACGUAGGCGGCUUGCCAAGUCGGACGUGAAAUCCCUCAGCUCAACUGAGGACGUGCAUCCGAAACUGGCGAGCUUGAGUACUGAAGAGGAUCGCGGAAUUCCCGGUGUAGAGGUGAAAUUCGUAGAUAUCGGGAGGAACACCAGUGGCGAAGGCGGCGAUCUGGGCAGAUACUGACGCUGAGGUGCGAAAGCGUGGGGAGCAAACAGG
rnacentral:rRNA from 2 species